GCUGUGAUAGUGUAAGGGUUAACAUCUAGGCUUCCCAUGUCCUUCAUAUGCGCCUGCCUAGGCUCCGAGUUCGAGUCUCGGUCACAGCA